ACUGCUCAGUAACACGUAGUCAACAUGCCCAGGGGACGUGGAUAACCUCGGGAAACUGAGGAUAAACCACGAUAAGUCACUACUUCUGGAAUGGGUAAUGACUCAAAUCUACAUGGCCCCUGGAUUGGACUGCGGCCGAUCAGGCUGUUGGUGAGGUAAUGGCCCACCAAACCUGUAACCGGUACGGGCUCUGAGAGGAGGAGCCCGGAGAUGGGCACUGAGACAAGGGCCCAGGCCCUAUGGGGCGCAGCAGGCGCGAAACCUCUGCAAUAGGCGAAAGCCUGACAGGGUUACUCUGAGUGAUUUCCGUUAAGGAGAUCUUUUGGCACCUCUAAAAAUGGUGCAGAAUAAGGGGUGGGCAAGUCUGGUGUCAGCCGCCGCGGUAAUACCAGCACCCCGAGUGGUCGGGACGUUUAUUGGGCCUAAAGCAUCCGUAGCCGGUUCUACAAGUCUUCCGUUAAAUCCACCUGCUUAACAGAUGGGCUGCGGAAGAUACUAUGGAGCUAGGAGGCGGGAGAGGCAAGCGGUACUCGAUGGGUAGGGGUAAAAUCCGUUGAUCCAUUGAAGACCACCAGUGGCGAAGGCGGCUUGCCAGAACGCGCUCGACGGUGAGGGUGAAAGCUGGGGGAGCAAACCGGAUUAGAUACCCGGGUAGUCCCAGCUGUAAACGAUGCAGACUCGGUGAUGAGUUGGCUUUAUGCCAACUCAGUGCCGCAGGGAAGCCGUUAAGUUUGCCGCCUGGGGAGUACGGUCGCAAGACUGAAACUUAAAGGAAUUGGCGGGGGAGCAC
rnacentral:rRNA from 1 species